UCUGUCAAUGAUGACAAAUUUCUCACCCUUGCUCGAGUUUAACGACCAUGAGAAAACUCACAUGCACUACCAUCUGAGACAGG